rnacentral:rRNA from 1 species
CGGGACGGGUGAGUAACGCGUGGAUAACCUGCCUCACACAGGGGGAUAACAGUUAGAAAUGACUGCUAAUACCGCAUAAGCGCACGGUACCGCAUGGUACAGUGUGAAAAACUCCGGUGGUGUGAGAUGGAUCCGCGUCUGAUUAGGUAGUUGGUGAGGUAACGGCCCACCAAGCCGACGAUCAGUAGCCGACCUGAGAGGGUGACCGGCCACAUUGGGACUGAGACACGGCCAA